CCUACGGGAGGCAGCAGUGGGGAAUAUUGGACAAUGGGGGGAACCCUGAUCCAGCGACGCCGCGUGAGUGAAGAAGUAUUUCGGUAUGUAAAGCUCUAUCAGCAGGGAAGAAAGAAAUGACGGUACCUGACUAAGAAGCCCCGGCUAACUACGUGCCAGCAGCCGCGGUAAUACGUAGGGGGCAAGCGUUAUCCGGAUUUAUUGGGUUUAAAGGGUGCGUAGGCGGAUGGUUAAGUCAGCGGUAAAAGCCCGGGGCUCAACCCCGGCGAGACGUUGAAACUGGCUGUCUUGAGAUGUCGAGAGGUAUGCGGAAUGCGCAGUGUAGCGGUGAAAUGCUUAGAUAUUGCGCAGAACUCCGAUUGCGAAGGCAGCAUACCGGCGGCGAUCUGACGCUGAGGCACGAAAGCGUGGGUAUCGAACAGGAUUAGAUACCCUUGUAGUC
rnacentral:rRNA from 1 species